rnacentral:lncRNA from 1 species
GAAUAUGUGAGAUCCAGGCUGUUGACUGUACUACAAUAUCCUCAUUUACAGUGAGGGAAUGUGAGGGAUCCAGUAGGAUGGGCUCAAGACCAAGGCGCUACUUGUUCACAGGCCAUACAAAUGGCAGUAUUCAAAUGUGGGAUCUGACCACUGCUAUGGAUAUGGUUAACAAAAGUGAAGAUAAGGGUAGGUUCUCAUACAGAAAGAUGUUUGUCCCAAGGUUAAGCUUUUCACUUAAGUGAUUUUAAUGACUAUUUGUUCUCCUAAGAUGUAGGUGGUCCAACCGAAGAAGAGCUACUCAAAUUACUGGAUCAAUGUGAUUUGAGCACAUCUCGCUGUGCUACUCCUAACAUCAGUCCAGCAACUUCCGUAGUUCAGCAUAGCCACUUACGAGAAUCAAAUUCUAGCCUUCAGCUUCAGCACCAUGAUACCACCCAUGAAGCAGCUACUUACGGUUCCAUGAGGCCUUACAGAGAAAGUCCUUUAUUAGCAAGGGCAAGAAGGACUGAGAGCUUUCACAGUUAUAGGGACUUCCAGACCAUUAAUUUGAACAGAAAUGUAGAAAGAGCUGUCCCUGAAAAUGGUAACUUGGGUCCAAUACAAGCUGAAGUGAAAGGGGCAACAGGGGAAUGUAAUAUAUCUGAGAGAAAGUCUCCUGGAGUAGAAAUAAAAAGUUUGAGAGAAUUGGAUAGCGGAUUGGAAGUGCAUAAAAUAGCUGAAGGUUUUUCAGAAUCCAAGAAAAGGUCAUCAGAAGAUGAAAAUGAAAAUAAAAUAGAGUUUAGGAAGAAAGGAGGAUUUGAAGGGGGAGGAUUCCUUGGAAGAAAGAAAGUUCCCUAUCUGGCGUCAUCACCAAGUACUUCCGAUGGAGGAACUGACUCACCUGGUACUGCGUCCCCAUCUCCUACAAAGACUACUCCAUCUCCUCGGCAUAAAAAAAGUGAUUCUUCAGGUCAGGAGUACAGCUUGUGAAAACUCACCAAAAUGAAUAGUUGUUUCGUUACAUUUAGAUGAAAGUUAAAC